rnacentral:lncRNA from 1 species
AGAAUAAGAUGCGGUAGCCAGUCAAAUAGCUGAUAUGAAGUAACAGCAAAUUAGAUUGGUUUCAUUGCACCACUGAGUCCUUUCUGAGAGUUCUCAGUUGGGUUUGGUUGCAUCUGUUUCCUGAAGGCAUCAGUGCAGAGAGACAACAUGCAGGGAACAGUGGAAUGGGCUUCCCAGAAACACUUGGUCUACCAGGAGACACUCUGACGCACACACCACGACCUGGCUGGGAUCAGCAAGGCCUCAUCCUGCCGUUACUAUACCUGCACACACCUAUGCAGGCACGCAGUGAGAGGCCUUGGCAUUUCAACCACCACAACAAGGCUGUGACCUUUGCAGCCAUCUCCACCUCCUGCCAUCCCUACUGGGUUUUGAAGGGACUGAAGCCUGUUGUUUUCGUUUGUAGCACUUCAUUCGAAGGAUACCUACAAGGAUUUCAUAUCCCGUUCCUAAGCAGUACACGUUUAUAUAUGUGUUAACAGCACACUGCUGCUAAUAUACUGCAACCCACAAGGGUACAUGAAGACGCAAUGGCUAAAUGUGGUGUAAGUUUCGGGAAGCAUCUGGUUUUGAACAUGAUUGGAUGUAUAAACAGUUUGUGAUGUGAUCUGAGAACAGCUUGAUCAUAAACAUAUGUCCAGACCAGUACAUACUGUAUGGUUAUUCAGUUAGGGGGGGAAUUCAGACCCGAGAUUAAGCGCGUGUAAAUGGAACAUAAUUCCUUUUGAAUGCGCUUUUCUCUCUAUGUGUAUUCUGACCUUGAAUUUAAGCAUGAGAAUAGCAUGCCAUUCACACGCUAUUCGUUUGAGGUGGAGCUGGAUUAAAUGAAGGUGUGGCAGAGGUGUGUCUACAGAUACACUGUAUUCUGACCUCGACUUAACCCUCCCGUUGUGUUCGUUUCAUGUUAAUUAAUUAUGCAUUCCCGGUCCAAAAUGACCGCCCCAUUAUAGCUGAUUAUAAAUCCAUAAUAAUUCAUAUAUUAUCACCUAGUGUUGCGUUAGAUCUUUUUAUCAACUUAAGUUCUUCUGAACAGUUCUUGUGUUCAUUCUUGUGAACAAGUUUUGAACUUCUAUUUGCUAUUUAUGACCUGUAGGCCUCAUUGACCUGAGCUCAUACAACUAAUUUUUGAGUAAAAAAAAGUAUAAUGUAUGGAUUAUUUUGACUAUAAGAAAUACUCAGAUGAAAGAUAAUGUGCUAUUUAUCACAGACUACUUUGUGUCAAAGUUUAACAAGGACUCUCUCCUCCUCACCAGUGUCAUGAUUAAAGAUAUGAUCAAGAGCCUCACAUACAGUACAUCGUUUGGUCAUUGUGCUGCCACAGAAUGAAUUGUGAGCAAGGCCUCAAAAAAGCUUUAUAUACCAG